UACGUAGGGUGCAAGCGUUAAUCGGAAUUACUGGGCGUAAAGCGUGCGCAGGCGGUGAUGUAAGACAGGUGUGAAAUCCCCGGGCUUAACCUGGGAACUGCAUUUGUGACUGCAUCGCUGGAGUGCGGCAGAGGGGGAUGGAAUUCCGCGUGUAGCAGUGAAAUGCGUAGAUAUGCGGAGGAACGCCGAUGGCGAAGGCAAUCCCCUGGGCCGGCACUGACGCUCAUGCACGAAAGCGUGGGGAGCAAACAGG
rnacentral:rRNA from 1 species